rnacentral:tRNA from 1 species
GCACUCGUAGCUUAAUGGAUAGAGCAUCUGACUACGGAUCAGAAGGUUGCAGGUUCGAGUCCUGCCGAGUGCAC